rnacentral:rRNA from 1 species
UACGGAGGGUGCAAGCGUUAUCCGGAUUCACUGGGUUUAAAGAGUGUGUAGGCGGUGCUCUAAGUUCAGUGUGAAAUCUCCUGGCUCAACUGGGAGGGUGCGCCGGAAACUGGAGUGCUUGAGCGUGGGAGAGGAAAGCGGAAUUCCUGGUGUAGCGGUGAAAUGCGUAGAUAUCAGGAGGAACACCUGUGGUGUAGACGGCUUUCUGGACCAUAGCUGACGCUGAGACACGAAAGCGUGGGUAGCAAACAGG